rnacentral:rRNA from 1 species
AAAAACAUGUCUUGAUGAUAAUAAAUAUUAAGUCUGGCCUGCCCAAUGAAAAUUUUUAAUGGCUGCAGUAAUUUAACUGUACAAAGGUAGCAUAAUAAUUAGUUUUUUAAUUGAGGACUUGAAUGAAGGGUUUUACGAAAUAUAAACUUUAUUAUAAUAAUAUAUAUAAUUUUAUUUUUUAGUAAGAAAGCUAAAAUUUUAGUAUUAGACGAGAAGACCCUAUAGAUUUUUAUAAUGUUAUAGAUGAGUAAUUUUAGGAUUAAGUUUAUUUAUUUUAUUGAUUUAUUUUAUUGGGGUGAUAGUAAAAUUUUUUAAAUUUUUAUGUUAUAUUAACAUUUAUUUAUGAUUAGUUGAUCCAUAUUUUAUGAUUAUUAGAUUUAAUUACCUUAGGGAUAACAGCAUAAUUUACUUAGAGAGUUCUUAUUGAUAAGUGAGUUUAUGACCUCGAUGUUGGAUUAAGAUUUAUUUUGGGAGCAGAAAUUCAAUAAUUAAGUCUGUUCGACUUAUAAAAUCUUACAUGAUCUGU